CGCGCGCGCACUAGAAGAGUUCGACACGCGCAGCAAGGGCGUGCAGCAGGCGCCGAGCUGCGUGCAGGCACGCGACGGCCACGGCAAGGAAGCUCCGCGAGCUGGGCGACUACGCGUCCGUCAAGCAGAGCAGGGCAGUCAUGCCAUGGGAAAGAAGCAGCGCGCGGCGAGGGAAACAGACUCCGGCAAAUCCCAGGGCGUGGCCAUGGGAGACUCGUUAGGGGCACGGCCGAGCAGAAAUGGAGCUCGGCAAACUCCAUGGGCGAGCAGAGCGCAGGGAAAUCCGAGCUCAGCAGAGAGAUGAAGAUGCGAGGGAGAGCUGAGGGAGAAAGAAGACGUCUGGGCGCAAGAGCACGCGCGGUCGAGCAGGGGCCGGACAGAGUAAGCGCGCGAGAGAGAGAGAGCUCGCGGCUAGCUGGGCGUGCGUAGGGAGGAGCAGAGGUGAGGGCGCUGGUGUCCAUGGCUAGGCGCAGGAGCGAGCUGGAUGGACGCAGCUCCACGGCGCAGACGCCAGAGCGAGCAGGAACGGCG
rnacentral:misc_RNA from 1 species